ensembl:snoRNA
AUUAAUUCACUGAUAGACCUGAAGGGUUUACUGUUGUUCUUCUGAUUGACACUUGGAUGCAAAAGGAAAAGCCCCUGAGGUUUCUGUCUUUCUGGUGGCCGAGAAUGAAGAAGAGACUACAUGG